rnacentral:rRNA from 1 species
AUUGAACGCUGGCGGCAUGCUUUACACAUGCAAGUCGAACGGUAACAGGUUAAGCUGACGAGUGGCGAACGGGUGAGUAAUGCAUCGGAACGUGCCCGGUCGUGGGGGAUAACGCAGCGAAAGCUGCGCUAAUACCGCAUACGAUCUGAGGAUGAAAGCGGGGGACCGUAAGGCCUCGCGCGAUCGGAGCGGCCGAUGUCAGAUUAGGUAGUUGGUGGGGUAAAGGCUCACCAAGCCAACGAUCUGUAGCUGGUCUGAGAGGACGACCAGCCACACUGGGACUGAGACACGGCCCAGACUCCUACGGGAGGCAGCAGUGGGGAAUUUUGGACAAUGGGCGAAAGCCUGAUCCAGCAAUGCCGCGUGCAGGAAGAAGGCCUUCGGGUUGUAAACUGCUUUUGUACGGAGCGAAAAGGUCUCCUCUAAUACAGGGGGCUCAUGACGGUACUGUAUGAAUAAGGACCGGCUAAUUCCGUGCCAGCCGCCGCGGUAA